rnacentral:lncRNA from 1 species
GGAGGAAGGACGGUCGCGUCAUGACGGCGAUCGAAGUCUUUCUUCUGCUGCCUUCUCACCUCUUCAUCUUGGCACUUGACAUCGUCUGGCGCCGGCCAUUUCGGUUCCAGGCGGUCCACUGUCUUAGGAAGCCUGGUUCGCAGGCUGCGACCCAACAGAAGCUGCGCUGGGCUGCUGUGACGCCUGCAGUGUCUCUGUACGACAGAAGAGCCAGAAAAGGAUCGUCUGCUUUCGCAAACAAUUCUUUGAUCGUACGCACCACCCUUUCCAUUUCCCCAUUUGACUGCGGGUAGUUUGGACUUGAGGUGAUGUGUCGGAAGCCAUAGCGCUUCGCAAAAGCUGCAAAGGCAUGUGAAGGAAACUGUGGUCCAUUAUCGCUUCGUACUACUGCGGGAAUGCCAAAACGAGCAAAAAUGCUUUUGACUGCAUUGAUGACCGCCUCAGAGUUUGUGCUUCACAUGUAGAUGACUUCAGCGUAGCGAGAAUGAUAAUCAACUACUAGUAGGUAGUUGUGUCCCUUGUAACUAAACAAGUCCAUUCCUACUUCUUGC